rnacentral:rRNA from 1 species
CAGCCGCCGCGGUAAUACGUAGGUGGCAAGCGUUGUCCGGAAUUAUUGGGCGUAAAGGGAGCGCAGGCGGACAUAUAAGUCCAUCUUAAAAGUGCGGGGCUCAACCCCGUGAGGGGAUGGAAACUGUAUGCCUUGAGUGCAGGAGAGGAAAGCGGAAUUCCCAGUGUAGCGGUGAAAUGCGUAGAUAUUGGGAGGAACACCAGUGGCGAAGGCGGCUUUCUGGACUGUAACUGACGCUGAGGCUCGAAAGCCAGGGGAGCGAACGGGAUUAGAUACCCCAGUAGUCCCUGUCUCUUAUACC